rnacentral:lncRNA from 1 species
GCCUAAUUGGGUUAUAAGAUAACCUAUUGCAUAGGAGAAUAAUUUCUUGUUGAAUUAGAGUUUGAGUUUGACUAAAUUUAUAAUUAGAUUAGGAUCUAAAUAAGAAUGUUUGAGUUUCUAUUUGGACUAAAAAUUUUUAUCUUCAUGGUUGCUCCAAAUCUUAAUUGGAUUAGGAUUAAAUUGAGUUUGACUCGAGCACCAAGAGAGAGUCCAAAAGGACUAGGACUCCUUCUCUAAUUAGAUGACAUCUAAUCUAAAUAGUUUGAGCUCCUAAUCAAAUUUAGAUUUUCAUCUAUUUAAGUCUAAUCAAUUUCUAAUAUGAUUAAGAUUGGUUAAAAUUUUAAUUGAUUUAAUUCAGCCAUAUAAAGAAGAGUCCAAUAUGCUUUAAACUCCUUCAUCUCCAUGUGCCAUAAAAGCCCCACGCCCAA